UAUUUAUUUAUUAUUAUUAUUAUUAUAUAUGUUAUUUUCAUUAAUUAUUUAAGUUGUUGAGCAAUCAACUUUCUUCAUCAAAGAAAUGACCAUACUAAAUAUUGAUCACAACACCACCAUUGUUUAUUUUCACACCAAAAAUAUAUACAAGAAUCCUUUCAAACUCACUAUCUAACCACUAUUAGAAAUCAAAUAUCUUCUACCGACAACAUUACAAAUCACCCCCGAUCUACUAUAGUUAUCAACUCCCAAGCCAUGUCCUGUUCUUAUUACUAUCAGAUUGUCUCUAUGUCCCUGCAAUACCACUGUUCUAAUUUCUUUUAAACAAAAUGCCUUCACUUCACUAGUUCCUUUGAAUAGCCAUGCAUCUUAGCUCUGUCAACACUAACUCAACAUAGCACUAAUGUCGCUUUUCUUUUAAUCAACUUGAGCUCCUCUAAAAUUGGCACCCCUUCUUCUUCCUAAACAACAAUCUUCUGUAUUGAUCUGGAUCUACUUCUUUGCCUACAACCAAUAACUUCUUUUCGCUAUAACCUUCACUUUUUUUUAUAAGAUACUCCCAC
rnacentral:lncRNA from 1 species